UUACACUUUUAUUUUUAUUUUUUUGAGAGAGAAAGGGUAGCACGCUACCUGCUUCAUUUAUUAAACAAAUAAAUUUAGCUACAUGGAGUGAGACAGCUAAGGCCUUGAGGACAGCGAAAAGUCAAGAAAAAGAGCAGACAAGAGCACAAAGACAAGUAAAAAGAGACAGAUGGUAAGAAAAAGAAUAUAAUAUUUGCCAAGGCCGUCCUGCUCAACAAAACUCAAUCCACUCCUUCGCCAAGAUUCCAAUACGUUGAGCUAUAUUGAUAGCAUUAGUAGAUAGAUUUAUGAAAAUAACGUUAUUUCUUUCGCAUCAGAUUGUCCACUAUAAGGUCGCCACCAAAAUUUGAGCUUUCAAAGAAUCGGGUUGCGAUCCCCUUCCCAGUAACCUAUCCCACACGGCAAUAACGACAUCCCAAGAAGAGAAGACAUGAAGGUUGUGGAGGAUAGGUAGCACGCUUGUCGAGGCAAUAACGACAUCGCAAGAAGAGAAGACAUGAAGCUUGUCGAGGCAAUAAUUUUAUUUUUUUAUUUUUUAUUAUUAUUAUUUUUUUGAGAGAUAGGUAGCACGCUAUCCGCUUCGUUUAUUUUAUUUAAAAAUAAACUUAGCUAGAAAUGUGAAUCAACUAGAAUUCGAACUUGGGACUUCGGAUACCAACCACCAAAUUCUUUGCCACUUGCUCUAAGGACGGUCGGUAUAUUUACACUUUUAUUAGUAGCAGUAAUGUAGUAUUACGUUGGUAUUCGAGACCCAAGUUUGAAUCCUAGUUGAUUCACAUUUCCAACUAAGUUUAUUUCUAAAUGAAAUAAACGAAAACGAAGCGGGUAACAUGCUACCUUUCUCUCAAAAAAAAAUAAAAAAAUGUAGUAUUAAUAUUUUCAUAUAUUUAUAAAUUUGUCCUAU
rnacentral:lncRNA from 1 species